GGGGUUGUGGCUCAGUGGUAGGGCACUCGCCUGUCGUAUGAGGCACUGAGUUCAAUUCUCAGCACCACA
rnacentral:tRNA from 1 species